GUUCCGGUCCCACCGGAGAGGUGCAGGCGGUGACCGCCGGGAUCGCGGCGUGCGGAGAGGGUCUGGGGGCAACAGCAGAGCCGUGUCCCCUGGGCAGGUGACACACUGAACCAGCAGCACCAGCUCUUUGAGGAGUACCAGGGCCCCUGUCGCCAGGCACUUGGCCGUGACCAGCCCUGGGCCAUAGGGACACUGCUCAGCUACCUCAACAUCUACAAGGAGCCCAUGUCCACCCCCAAGAACACAAAGAGGUGAUAGAGUGGGGACAUGGGGAUGGGGGAGAUGAGGGACACAGAGUGGGGACAGUGGAGACAUGGGUCAGGGUUCCCACAGGAGCUGAGUGGGGAGUGGGAUGCUUCAGCCGAGCCACCAGCCUGGAAAGGGGAAUGAUGCUGUGAUCGCAAUGUCCCCAUGUCCCCAUGUCAUUGUGUCUCUGUGCCAUCAUGUCCCCAUUCCACCUUGUCCACCUGCCACCACAUCCCAGUGUCACCGAGUCCUCAUCCCACUGUGUCCCCACACCACUCAUCCCCAUGCCAUCACAUCCCUGUAUCACCACGUUUUCAUGUCACCAUGUCCCUGUGCCACAUGUUCCCUGCCUGCAGGAUGCUUUCCCAGCUGUGGGGGUGGCUGCAGUACCCGGAGAGGUCCAUCCCGUGCAAUGGGGACCCCGAUCCUGCGGCCCCACAGCCCUGGCAGGGCCAGUACUUGGACUAUGUGCUGCACCGCAGGCACCCGCCGCUGCCCACCGUGAAUGUCCCCAUGUCCCCGUGUCCCAGUGUCCCCUGCCCUGAUGCCGCUGUCCCUGCAGGAGGUGGCUGGAGUCUCCAUUAUCACCCAGCUGGCCAUGUGCUCCAGGUGGGACCUGCCACCCCCCGGGCCCUUGACGCCAGUACAGGGGAGGUUCAGACCUUCCACCCUCACAGACCUCACAGCAGCACAGGGGGGUCUCAGACCUCCUGGUACAUGAGGAGGGGCUGGCACCUCACAGGGACAGCUCCAAGCCCCCAGUUGUGUGUCUCUGCACAGCUGUGUGCUGGUGACCAUGGGGCUGAUGGGUGCAGUGAUCUGGCAUCACUCUGGCAUCGAUCCAGCAUCGAUUCAGCGUUGAUCCAGCAUUGAUUCAGCAUAUAUCCAGCAUCACAGAAUCACAGAAUGAUUUAGGUUGGAAAAGACCUCCAAGACCAUCGAGUCCACCCUGUGCCCGAUCCCCAUCUUGUCACCCAGACUGCAGCACUGAGUGCCACAUCCAGUCAUUUCUUGAACACCUCCAGGGAUGGGGACUCCACCACCUCCCUAGACAGCCCCUUCCAAUGUCUGACCACCCUUUC